rnacentral:rRNA from 1 species
CAGCCGCCACGGUAAUACGAAGGGGGCUAGCGUUGCUCGGAAUCACUGGGCGUAAAGGGUGCGUAGGCGGGUCUUUAAGUCAGGGGUGAAAUCCUGGAGCUCAACUCCAGAACUGCCUUUGAUACUGAAGAUCUUGAGUUCGGGAGAGGUGAGUGGAACUGCGAGUGUAGAGGUGAAAUUCGUAGAUAUUCGCAAGAACACCAGUGACGAAGGCGGCUCACUGGCCCGAUACUGGCGCUGAGGCACGAAAGCGUGGGGAGCAAACAGGAUUAGAUACCCCCGUAGUCCCUGUCUCUUAUAC